rnacentral:rRNA from 1 species
UACGAAGGGGGCUAGCGUUGCUCGGAAUGACUGGGCGUAAAGGGCGCGUAGGCGGUUUGUACAGUCAGGUGUGAAAUUCCCGGGCUCAACCUGGGGGCUGCACUUGAUACGUAGGAACUUGAGUGGGGAAGAGGGUCGUGGAAUUCCCAGUGUAGAGGUGAAAUUCGUAGAUAUUGGGAAGAACACCGGUGGCGAAGGCGGCUCACUGGCUCAUUACUGACGCUCAGGCGCGAAAGCGUGGGGAGCGAACAGG